rnacentral:rRNA from 1 species
GACGAACGCUGGCGGCGUGCCUAAUACAUGCAAGUAGAACGCUGAAGGAGGAGCUUGCUCUUCUGGAUGAGUUGCGAACGGGUGAGUAACGCGUAGGUAACCUGCCUGGUAGCGGGGGAUAACUAUUGGAAACGAUAGCUAAUACCGCAUAAGAGUAGAUGUUGCAUGACAUUUACUUAAAAGGUGCAAUUGCAUCACUACCAGAUGGACCUGCGUUGUAUUAGCUAGUUGGUGGGGUAACGGCUUACCAAGGCGACGAUACAUAGCCGACCGGAGAGGGUGAUCGGCCACACUGGGACUGAGACACGGCCCAGACUCCUACGGGAGGCAGCAGUAGGGAAUCUUCGGCAAUGGACGGAAGUCUGACCGAGCAACGCCGCGUGAGUGAAGAAGGUUUUCGGAUCGUAAAGCUCUGUUGUAAGAGAAGAACGAGUGUGAGAGUGGAAAGUUCACACUGUGACGGUAUCUUACCAGAAAGGGACGGCUAACUACGUG